rnacentral:rRNA from 1 species
CCUACGGGCGGCAGCAGUGGGGAAUAUUGGGCAAUGGAGGCAACUCUGACCCAGCAACGCAGCGUGAAUGAUGAAGGUCUUAGGAUUGUAAAGUUCUUUUCUAAGGGAAGAAGAAUGUGACGGUACCUUAGGAAUAAGCCUCGGCUAACUACGUGCCAGCAGCCGCGGUAAUACGUAGGAGGCACGCGUUAUCCGGAUUGACUGGGCGUAAGGGGUGCGUAGGUGGUUUGACAAGUUAGUAGCGCAACUUCGGGGCUCAACUUCGGAACUACUACUAAAACUGGUGGACUUGAGUGCAGGGGAGGUAAUCGGAAUUCGUGGUGUAGCGGUGGAAUGCGUAGAUAUUAGGAGGAACACCAGUGGCGAAGGCAGAUUGCUAGACUGUAACUGACACUGAGGCACGAAAGCGUGGGGAGCAAACAGGAUUAGAUACCCCAGUAGUC